UUAGCUCAUAUUUGGAUGGAAUGGGAUCGUUUGCCUACGUUUGCCGCUAGGGGCGCUGUUCCAAUUGCAUACAAAAUUGGGUUA
rnacentral:pre_miRNA from 1 species